rnacentral:rRNA from 1 species
UACGGAGGGGCAAGCGUUGUCCGGACUUACUGGGCGUAAAGGGUGCGUAGGCGGCCUGCUGCGUCGGUGCUGAAAGCGCCCGGCUUAACCGGGCGAGGCGUGCCGAUACGAGCGGGCUGGAGCCUUGGCGAGGGUGGCGGAACUCCUGGUGUAGUGGUGAAAUGCGUAGAGAUCAGGAAGAACACCCGUGGCGCAAGCGGCCACCUGGCCAAGAGCUGACGCUGGAGGCACGAGAGCGUGGGGAGCGAACCGG